GCUGCCGGACGGGUGGUCGCUCCCGGCAACGGGAGAGGAAAGUCCGGUCUCCACAGGGCAGCGUGCCGGCUAACGGCCGGGGGGGCCGCAAGGCUCUACGGAAAGUGCCACAGAAAAUAUACCGCCUUGCCGCGAGGUGAGGUAAGGGUGAAAUGGUGCGGUAAGAGCGCACCGCGGCAGGAGUAAUUCUGCCGGCAGGGAAAACCCCACGCGGAGCAAGACCAAAUAGGGGAGGAGGGGCGGCCCGCCCCGCUCGACUUCCGGGUAGGUUGCUAGAGCCGGCCAGCAAUGGCCGGCCCAGAGGAAUGACCGCCGCCCGCAAGGGUACAGAAACCGGCUUACAGUCCGGCAGCCUCG
rnacentral:RNase_P_RNA from 1 species